rnacentral:rRNA from 1 species
UACGUAGGGUGCAAGCGUUGUCCGGCAUUAUUGGGCGUAAAGAGCUCGUAGGCGGUCUGUCACGUCGGCUGUGAAAACCCGAGGCUCAACCUCGGGCCUGCAGUCGAUACGGGCAAACUAGAGUACUGCAGGGGAGACUGGAAUUCCUGGUGUAGCGGUGAAAUGCGCAGAUAUCAGGAGGAACACCGGUGGCGAAGGCGGGUCUCUGGGCAGUAACUGACGCUGAGGAGCGAAAGCGUGGGGAGCGAACAGG